GACGAACGCUGGCGGCGUGCCUAAUACAUGCAAGUUGAGCGCUGAAGGUUGGUACUUGUCCCAACUGGAUGAGCAGCGAACGGGUGAGUAACGCGUGGGGAAUCUGCCUUUGAGCGGGGGACAACAUUUGGAAACGAAUGCUAAUACCGCAUAAAAACUUUAAACACAAGUUUUAAGUUUGAAGGAUGCAAUUGCAUCACUCAAAGAUGAUCCCGCGUUGUAUUAGCUAGUUGGUGAGGUAAAGGCUCACCAAGGCGAUGAUACAUAGCCGACCUGAGAGGGGGAUCGGCCAAAAUGGGACGGAGACACGGCCCAAACUCCUACGGGAGGCAGCAGUAGGGAAUCUUCGGCAAUGGACGAAAGUCUGACCGAGCAACGCCGCGUGAGUGAAGAAGGUUUUCGGAUCGUAAAACUCUGUUGGUAGAGAAGAACGUUGGUGAGAGUGGAAAGCUCAUCAAGUGACGGUAACUACCCAGAAAGGGACGGCUAACUACGUG
rnacentral:rRNA from 1 species